GAUAGUGGCGAACGGGUGAGUAACACGUGGGCAAUCUGCCCUUCACUCUGGGACAAGCCCUGGAAACGGGGUCUAAUACCGGAUAACACUCCCUCUCUCAUGGGUGGGGGUUAAAAGCUCCGGCGGUGAAGGAUGAGCCCGCGGCCUAUCAGCUUGUUGGUGAGGUAAUGGCUCACCAAGGCGACGACGGGUAGCCGGCCUGAGAGGGCGACCGGCCACACUGGGACUGAGACACGGCCCAGACUCCUACGGGAGGCAGCAGUGGGGAAUAUUGCACAAUGGGCGAAAGCCUGAUGCAGCGACGCCGCGUGAGGGAUGACGGCCUUCGGGUUGUAAACCUCUUUCAGCAGGGAAGAAGCGAAAGUGACGGUACCUGCAGAAGAAGCGCCGGCUAACUACGUGCCAGCAGCCGCGGUAAUACGUAGGGCGCAAGCGUUGUCCGGAAUUAUUGGGCGUAAAGAGCUCGUAGGCGGCUUGUCACGUCGGGUGUGAAAGCCCGGGGCUUAACCCCGGGUCUGCAUUCGAUACGGGCUAGCUAGAGUGUGGUAGGGGAGAUCGGAAUUCCUGGUGUAGCGGUGAAAUGCGCAGAUAUCAGGAGGAACACCGGUGGCGAAGGCGGAUCUCUGGGCCAUUACUGACGCUGAGGAGCGAAAGCGUGGGGAGCGAACAGGAUUAGAUACCCUGGUAGUCCACGCCGUAAACGGUGGGAACUAGGUGUUGGCGACAUUCCACGUCGUCGGUGCCGCAGCUAACGCAUUAAGUUCCCCGCCUGGGGAGUACGGCCGCAAGGCUAAAACUCAAAGGAAUUGACGGG
rnacentral:rRNA from 1 species